CAGGGAGUGCCCUUCGGGAGCCAGGAGACAGGUGCUGCAUGGCUGUCGUCAGCUCGUGUCGUGAGAUGUUGGGUUAAGUCCCGCAACGAGCGCAACCCUUGUCUUUAAUUGCCAUCAUUCAGUUUGGGCACUUUAAAGAGACUGCCGGUGUUAAACCGGAGGAAGGUGGGGAUGACGUCAAGUCCUCAUGGCCUUUAUGCCCAGGGCUACACACGUGCUACAAUGGGUGGUACAAAGAGAUGCAAUCUCGCAAGAGCAAGCAAACCUCAAAAAGCCAUCCUCAGUUCGGAUUGGAGUCUGCAACUCGACUCCAUGAAGGUGGAAUCGCUAGUAAUCGCGCAUCAGCAUGGCGCGGUGAAUACGUUCCCGGGCCUU
rnacentral:rRNA from 1 species